rnacentral:lncRNA from 1 species
CCAAAAUCCGAAUCCGAGGACUCCGCACUGCAGAUGGGCGGCACCGAAACCCCUCCCCAAACCGCGGGGGGGGCCGGGAGCGGCGUCUGUGGGGACGCGGCCAGGAGACCCCAAAGGGGACGCGGCACCGAGCCCCCCCGGGACCCCCGCAGCCGCAUCCGCAGGCAGCGAUGGCGCAGCGUUGGUGGUGGGGACCCCAAAGACUGUGGCAGUGGGGGCCCUAAAUCCCACGGCAUCGGGAUCCACAAAGAGCGCGGCGUUGGGGUUCCCAAGGAUUACGACGACGGGGGCCCCAAAAACUGUGCCAUUGGGGACCCUACAGACCACGGCAUUUGGGUCCCCAAAGACCGUGGCAGUGGAGACCCCAAAGAUUGCGGCAAUGGGGUCCCCAAAAACUGUGGCACCUUUAAGUACUGUAGAGACAAUGGGGUUCCCAAGGAGCAUGGCACCGGGGUCCCCAAAGAGCGUGGCACUGGGGUCCCCAAAAACUCUGGCAUUUGGAUCCCCAAGGAGCGUGGCAUUGGGGUUCCCAAAGAGCGUGGCAUUGGGGUCCCCCAAAACUCUGGCAUUUGGAUCCCCAAGGAGCGUGGCAAUGGGGUUCCCAAAGAGCGCGGCAAUGGGGUCCCCAAAUACUGCGCCAUCGGGGGCCCUAAAGCCCAUGGCACGGGGGUCUCGCAGGAGCGUGGCAACGGGGACCCCAAAGAGUAUCAGAACGGGGUCCCCGAGGAGCGUGGCAAGAGGGUCCCCAAAAGCUGUGCCACCGGGGUGCCCCAACAGCGUUGCAUUUGGGACCUCAAGGAACGUGGCAUAGGGGACCCCGAAGAUCACGGCUGCGGGGAUCCCAAAAGCUGCGCCACUGGGGUCGUCGCCCCCCCCGGCGCGGUGCCGCCGGCUCAGGGGCUGCGGUACCUGGAGCUGCUCUGCCGGACGCUGGAGCGCCUGGCGCGGCUGCAGGAGGACAACCGGCAGCUCCGGCAGUGGGGCGGGGGGGGGGCCGGAUCUCUGCGCGCCCCACUGCGACCCCCGAGCGACGGAGAUGCGGAUUUGGGGUCGGGCAGAGCGGAGCCGUUCCGGACGCGUUCGUGUUCCGACAGCCACACGGCAGCUCACAGCCCCGCACGGCGCAGGGCGCAGUGGGGGCACUCGAUCAGCUCCCCCAGCCUGCUGGAUCCCACGGACGCCCCCCCGGCACCCCACAAGGUACGUGGGGCGCACUCACACACACUGGGGGCCGCGGGACCCCCCCACCCCACUGAUGGCUGCCUCUCCCCCCAGGACGGCCGCUCGCAUUGGGGUCGGGUGAAGGUGCUGCUCACCCGCCUCACCCGGCGCUCGCUGAGGGGUCGCUGACCCACGGCCGCCCCACAGCGCGGCGCCCCACAUGGUGCGGGGUCGGGCAGCGCUGCGCCACAGACCCACAGCUCAGCCUGCCCCCAACCUCAUCCCUAACCUCGACCCCUCGACCCUGACCUUAGCCCUAUUCCUCACCCCAUAAUCCUGACCCCAUAACCCUGACCCCAACCCUGACCCUCCAAACCCACCCCUAAUCCUAACCCUGACCCCCAAACCUGACCUUAACCCUAAUCCUGAGCCCCCAACCCCAACCCUGACCGUAACCCUAUUCUUCACCCCAUAACCCUGACCCCAUAACCCUGACCCCAACCCUGACCCCCCAAACCCACCCCUAAUCCUAACCCUGACCCCCAAACCUGACCUUAACC